rnacentral:lncRNA from 1 species
CUGAGUCCUCAUCGGCUUUCUGAGCUCCUGAUUCAUAUAUCAUGCGAGAAAGCUAACUUCUGCAAAUUCCCAUCGUCCAAGGUCUGAAGUUCCAUAAAUAGCGCAAGGAUCCCAACGAUCUUGACUACUUUGAAACAAUUCGAGAGAUGACUUGAAUUAACUGUAGAGUAAAGAUAGCUCUGUUUCGUAUCCUUCGGGAUCGUACUUCAUUUUCGAUUGGAGUACCGGAAGACAUGAAUCUUUCUUUUGACUUCUCGAGUCGUUUUCAUGAGUCUCUUUAUUGGUAUAACAAGCGUCCUUUAAAAUUACGUUCGUAAUGGUACUUUCGAGUACUUUCGUAUUUUUCCAGGGCUUAAUUCAAUUAAAUUGGAAUUUCUGCGAUUAAAUUCCAAUUUUCUAGAAUUUUU